ACAAGUGGGAUGCUUAGUACGGCGAGUGAAGCGGCAAAAGCUCAAAUUUGAAAUCUGGUACCUUCGGUGCCCGAGUUGUAAUUUGGAGAGGGCAACUUUGGGGCCGUUCCUUGUCUAUGUUCCUUGGAACAGGACGUCAUAGAGGGUGAGAAUCCCGUGUGGCGAGGAGUGCGGUUCUUUGUAAAGUGCCUUCGAAGAGUCGAGUUGUUUGGGAAUGCAGCUCUAAGUGGGUGGUAAAUUCCAUCUAAAGCUAAAUAUUGGCGAGAGACCGAUAGCGAACAAGUACAGUGAUGGAAAGAUGAAAAGAACUUUGAAAAGAGAGUGAAAAAGUACGUGAAAUUGUUGAAAGGGAAGGGCAUUUGAUCAGACAUGGUGUUUUGUGCCCUCUGCUCCUUGUGGGUAGGGGAAUCUCGCAUUUCACUGGGCCAGCAUCAGUUUUGGUGGCAGGAUAAAUCCAUAGGAAUGUAGCUUGCCUCGGUAAGUAUUAUAGCCUGUGGGAAUACUGCCAGCUGGGACUGAGGACUGCGACGUAAGUCAAGGAUGCUGGCAUAAUGGUUAUAUGCCGCCCGUCUUAA
rnacentral:rRNA from 1 species